rnacentral:tRNA from 1 species
GGGCGAUUAACUCAGCGGGAGAGUGCCACCUUCACACGGUGGAAGUCAUCGGUUCAAAUCCGAUAUCGCCCACCA